AUACGUAGGGGGCGAGCGUUGUCCGGAAUGAUUGGGCGUAAAGGGCGCGUAGGCGGCCCGGUAAGUCUGGAGUGAAAGUCCUGUUUUUAAGAUGGGAAUUGCUUUGGAUACUGUCGGGCUUGAGUGCAGGAGAGGUAAGUGGAAUUCCCAGUGUAGCGGUGAAAUGCGUAGAGAUUGGGAGGAACACCAGUGGCGAAGGCGAUUUACUGGAUGGUGUCUGACGUUCAGAUGCGAAAGCCAGGGUGGCGAACGGGAUUAGAUCCCCCGUUAUCCCGGGCCGUAAACGAUGGGUACUAGGUGUGGGAGGUAUCGACUCCUUCCGUGCCGGAGUUAACGCAAUAAGUACCCCGCCUGGGGAGUACGGCCGCAAGGCUUAAACUCAAAUGAAUUGGCGGGG
rnacentral:rRNA from 1 species